GAUAAGCGCUGGCGGCGCACAUAAGACAUGCAAGUCGAACGAACUUAACUCAUUCUUUUAGUUUGAGAGCGGUUAGUGGCGGACUGGUGAGUAACGCGUAAGGAACCUACCUUUUAGAGGGGAAUAACAGUGAGAAAUCAUUGCUAAUACCACAUAUGCUGUGAGUAACACAUGUUACAAAUAGGAAAGAAGCAAUUCGCUAAAAAGAUGGCCUUGCGUCUGAUUAGAUAGUUGGUGGGGUAACGGCCUACCAAGUCGACGAUCAGUAGCCGGACUGAGAGGUUGAACGGCCACAUUGGGACUGAGAUACGGCCCAG
rnacentral:rRNA from 1 species